AGAAACUAAGGUUAACCCCCAAACA
rnacentral:tRNA from 1 species